CGGCACGGGUGAGUAACGCGUAGAUAACCUGUCUUCGAUGUCUGGAAUAAUACGCCAAAGGGGUACUAAUACCGGAUAUCUUGCUUUUCAUAAGUUAUGCAAGCAAAGGUGGCCUCUGCAUAUGCUACUGCAUGAAGAGGGGUCUGCGUACCAUUAGCUAGUAGGUGGGGGUAAUGGCCUACCUAGGCGACGAUGGUUAGCGGGUCUGAGAGGAUGAUCCGCCACACUGGCACUGGAACACGGGCCAGACUCCUACGGGAGGCAGCAGUGAGGAAUAUUGCGCAAUGGGGGAAACCCUGACGCAGCGACGCCGCGUGAAGUGAGGAAGGCCUUCGGGUCGUAAAGCUCUGUCAAGAGGAAAGAAGUGUACAAUGGCUAAUACCUGUUGUAUUUGACGGUACCUCUGAAGGAAGCACCGGCUAACUCCGUGCCAGCCGCGGC
rnacentral:rRNA from 1 species